rnacentral:rRNA from 1 species
UAUCUCUGUAGAGUCUGCAUAUCAAUAAGCGGAGGAAAAGAAACUAACAAGGAUUCCCUUAGUAACGGCGAGUGAAGCGGGAAGAGCUCAAAUUUGAAAUCUUCAAGGUUUUACCUUGACGAAUUGUAGUUUAAAGAAGUGUUUUCUGUUGGAGUUUUGGUAAAAGUUCUUUGGAAUAGGACAUCAUAGAGGGUGAGAAUCCCGUAUUUGACCAUUAUUUCCAGCUUUGUGAUACACUUUCAAAGAGUCGGAUUGUUUGGGAAUGCAGUCCAAAAUGGGUGGUAAAUUUCAUCUAAAGCUAAAUAUUGGCGAGAGACCGAUAGCGAACAAGUACCGUGAGGGAAAGAUGAAAAGAACUUUGAAAAGAGAGUUAAACAGUACGUGAAAUUGUCAAAAGGGAAGCGUUUGACACCAGUGUUGUUUUCUCGAAAAUCAAUUAAAAAAGGCAGGAUUUUGUGUUGUAUUGACUUUAUCAGCUUUCUGCACUCUUUUCUUGUCUUUUUUAAUGCACUUUUCGUUUAACAAGUCAACAUCAAUUUCCUUUGUUGUAAAAGGGUCAUUGGAAGGUGGCUUUCACUUCGGUGAAAGUGUUUAUAGCCUUUGGCUUCUGCAAUCGGAGAGAUUGAGGUCUGCAGCGUAGAUCCUUCGGGGCUAGAUACGUAGAUGCUAAGUUAUAGUUUUUUAUAGACAACUUGUUGACUAUAAUUAAUCAGUGUAGCUUACUCGUUUGCGCUAUUUUACCUACGCUUAGGAUGUUGAAGAUGUAGCACAUCAU